GUGGGGAAUAUUGGACAAUGGGCGAAAGCCUGAUCCAGCCAUGCCGCGUGUGUGAAGAAGGUCUUCGGAUUGUAAAGCACUUUAAGUUGGGAGGAAGGGUAGUAACCUAAUACGUUGCUACUUUGACGUUACCGACAGAAUAAGCACCGGCUAACUUCGUGCCAGCAGCCGCGGUAAUACGAAGGGUGCAAGCGUUAAUCGGAAUUACUGGGCGUAAAGCGCGCGUAGGUGGUUCAGUAAGUUGGAAGUGAAAUCCCCGGGCUCAACCUGGGAACUGCUUUCAAAGCUGCUGAGCUAGAGUACGGUAGAGGGUGGUGGAAUUUCCUGUGUAGCGGUGAAAUGCGUAGAUAUAGGUAGGAACACCAGUGGCGAAGGCGACCACCUGGACUGAUACUGACACUGAGGUGCGAAAGCGUGGGGAGCAAACAGGAUUAGAUACCCUAGUAGUCC
rnacentral:rRNA from 1 species